CCUACGGGUGGCAGCAGUAGGGAAUCUUUCACAAUGGGCGAAAGCCUGAUGGAGCAACGCCGCGUGCAGGAUGAAGGCUUUCGGGUUGUAAACUUCUUUUUUCAGGGACGAAGCAAGUGACGGUACCUGAGGAAUAAGCCACGGCUAACUACGGGCUAGCAGCCGCGGUAAUACGUAGGUGGCAAGCGUUAUCCGGAUUUACUGGGUGUAAAGGGCGUGUAGGCGGGAAAGCAAGUCAGAUGUGAAAACCGUGGGCUCAACCUGUGGCCUGCAUUUGAAACUGUUUUUCUUGAGUCCUGGAGAGGCAGACGGAAUUCCUGGUGUAGCGGUGAAAUGCGUAGAUAUUAGGAGGAACACCAGUGGCGAAGGCAGUCUGCUGGACAGCAACUGACGCUGAGGCGCGAAAGCGUGGGGAGCGAACAGGAUUAGAUACCCGGGUAGUC
rnacentral:rRNA from 1 species